GAUGAACGCUAGCGGCAGGCCUAACACAUGCAAGUCGAGGGGUAGAACACUUCGGUGUUUGAGACCGGCGCACGGGUGCGUAACGCGUAUGCAAUCUACCUUAUACAGGGGAAUAGCCCAGAGCAAUUUGGAUUAAUGCCCCAUAGCAUUACGACUUGGCAUCAAGAUGUAAUUAAAGUUCCAACGGUAUAAGAUGAGCAUGCGUCCCAUUAGUUAGUUGGUAAGGUAACGGCUUACCAAGACGAUGAUGGGUAGGGGUCCUGAGAGGGAGACCCCCCACACUGGUACUGAGACACGGACCAGACUCCUACGGGAGGCAGCAGUGAGGAAUAUUGGUCAAUGGUCGCAAGACUGAACCAGCCAUGCCGCGUGCAGGAAGACGGUCCUAUGGAUUGUAAGCUGCUUUUAUACAGGAAGAAACCCUCCCACGUGUGGGAGCUUGACGGUACUGUAGGAAUAAGGAUCGGCUAACUCCGUGCCAGCAGCCGCCGUAA
rnacentral:rRNA from 1 species